CACGUAGUUAGCCGUGGCUUAUUCCUCAGGUACCGUCACUUGCUUCGUCCCUGAGAAAAGAAGUUUACAACCCGAAGCCUUCUUCCUUCACGCGGCGUUGCUGGGUCAGGCUUGCGCCCAUUGCCCAAUAUUCCCCACUGCUGCCUCCCGUAGGAGUCUGGGCCGUGUCUCAGUCCCAAUGUGGCCGGCCAACCUCUCAGUCCGGCUACUGAUCGUCGCCUUGGGUGGGCCGUUACCCCGCCAACUAGCUAAUCAGACGCGAGUCCAUCUCAGAGCGAUAAAUCUUUGAUGUCCAGUGCCAUGCGACACAGACAUAUUAUGCGGUAUUAGCAGCUGUUCCAGCUGUUACUUCCCCAUCCAAGGCAGGUUACUCACGCGUUACUCACCCGUCCGCCACUAAGUACGUCCCAUCAGUUGUACCCGAAAACUUCCUUCACGGGGGUUACUCCGUUCGACUUGCAUGUGUUAAGCACGCCGCCAGCCGUUCAUCCUGA
rnacentral:rRNA from 1 species